AAGUUUUGGGUUGUUCACAGCAAUAGAUACUCAAGACACCAUCUUGGCCUUUGCUCUCAGCCUACCCCUUCGUGCUCCACACCCCAGUGAUAGUGAGAGGAGUACCAGAAACGAAGGGAUGGAAGAAUAGCAGCUGGAGGAGAAGAAUGGAGCAGAAAACAGCGAGUUCAAGAAGGAUUGGGAGAGAAUUUUUGAUCCAUGUGACUUCUGGUAAUAGAGGCCAAAACACAUGGACUCCUCAGACUAUCUGGUGGAACUAAGAGAGGAACUUCCAUUGAGAGGAAGAGAAGAAUUCCAACUACUUCUAAUUUAAAGAAUUAAUUUUCUGUAUGUGUGUCUGUAUGGCA
rnacentral:lncRNA from 1 species